AAUACAUGGAUUCGUUUUUAUGUUGUUGUUGUUGCUAUUUUUUAUUUCCUCUUAUUUUUCAUGGACGGAACGAAAAAUUACACGUGUGUGUUCUAGCCGGAGCUCUGAAUCAGCCAAUCAGAAAACAGCAUCGUCGGAAAUGUCCAUUAAAUUCAUCCUGACCUAAAACGAUUCGAAUAUGGACUUCACGGAGUGCUAUGGAGACACCUGCUCAGCCGUCGCGCUGGCAGCCCGGGAGGGGAAAGGUCGACGGGUGCAGAAGCUCAUCCAGAGAGGCUUCGCGGUGGACGUGAAAGAUAACCGGGGCUGGAACGCCCUGCAUGAGGCUGCGGCGGCUGGAUCAGCGGAGUGUGUGCGGCUUCUCCUCCCUGCAGCCGUCAAUUGCGAAGACUACGUCAACACUUUGACACAUAACUCAGAGACUCCUCUUUACUUUGCUGCGAGGAAUGGACACCUCCGGGCAGUGAAGUGGCUUAUCAAGGGUGGUGCGGACAUUAACAGGACAACCAAUGAGCUCUCCUGUCCCCUUUUUGCAGCUGUAGAUGGUGGGCACGAAGAUGUGGUAGAGCUGCUGGUGGAAAAUGGGGCAAAAGUCAAUGGGACGUACUCGGUGUCAGGCUGGUCUUGUCUCCAUCAAGCUGUUUACAAGGGCCAUACUGAGAUUGUGAGGUACCUGGUGAGCAUGUGCUCUCUGGAAGCUGUUGAUGACUAUGGGAUCACAUCUUUAUUUGUUGCUGCGCAAUAUGGACAUCACCAAUGCUUGGAAAUUCUUGCAAAUGCCGGGGCGAAUGUGAACUGCCAGGCAAACGAUCUGGCCACACCGCUGCUCAUUGCCGCUCAGGAGGGCCACGUACGGUGUGUGGAGCUUUUGCUGGCCCAUGGAGCUGACCCCAACCUGUACUGCAAUGAGGACUGCUGGCAGCUACCCAUCCAUGCUGCGUCCCAGUUCAGUCGGCUUAGUAUUUUAGAGAAGCUGAUUCCGGUAACGAAGCGAGAAUGUGACCGGGGCGAGGGAAAGGUCAGUCCAGUUUAUUUGGCAGUACUUAGCGGGCAAGCGGACAGCCUGCGGGCCUUGCUAAAGAAGGGCUACAGUCCAGAUGCCCAAAGCUGUCGACAGUUUGGCUACAGCUGCCCUUUGGACAUGGCUCUGUGGUGCAACUCUUGGAAUUUGAACAGCGAGUGUCACCAGAUUCGUGAAAUCACUCUGAUGCUCUUGGCAGCAGGGGCCCAUGUGAGCAUGGGCAUCUACGCCUUUGCAUUACAGGGCCACGUACCAGAGCACCUGCCCUUGAUCCUAGAGCACGCUGGCCUCCCUCAGGGUGACCGACUGGAAGAACUGGCCCGUAGAGCCCUUGCUGAGAUGCAGAGCGCCUCUUUCUGGCUCCCCCUGCUGCUCAAAGCAGGAAUGGACCCCAUGCUGCUCCUGCAGGACAAAAUAUUCUCUCUCACCGUCGAGCAGAUGGCACCUGGACGCCACAGAAGCAUUUCGAAUCAGUCCCUACCCUCACCCAUCUGUGCAGACUGGCAGUGCGGGCAGCGGUGGGCAGCAAUGCUCUGUCUAAGACCUCCUUUAUCAAACAGCUGCCCAUCCCCACACUGCUUCAGGACUACCUUCAGUUCAGCGACGUCCCAGGCUUGCUUACAUAGCGGCCUGACAGCUGGCCUUCAUACUGAGUUGGUGUUGAAAUUCACCUCUGCUCCGUGUCUUUGGUCUGCCUCGUUGUCUUUCUCUCAGCGGCUCUCCUCUCUGUCUGCCUCCAAGGUCACUCUGCCUCAAAAACGCAUACUCUCCUCGAAUGUUAAUUGCCAACGCAGCCACACUCAUUCAGAGAUGCUACUAUCUGCCUUUGGUCAUACUAUGUAUUUAACAUUUUAUGUUACCUUUUAGGAAUAUGCAUAGCACACCUUCAAAAGCCUCUUAAUUUAAAAUCGUCUGUAUCUCUGCUGCGUGAUGCUCUCAACCUCUUGCUGCUUUGUGAAUAGAGUCUUGCCUUUAUGAAUAGGCAGUUAAUCUGUUUCUAUUUCACACAGACCCAAUGUUCCAGUGUUUUACAUUUUUUCUACAGUACAUAUCCUGGCAGAUUGUUUUUAACACCUCUUUAACAUCAAUUAUGGAAAGACCAACUGAUGCUUGCAUAAUUGUGUUACAAAAAUCAUGUUAUAUAACAUCGUGGUGUUCCUUAUUUCCAAGCCAUUUCUUUUGGAAUACUGUAUACCAUGUGCAAACAGCAGGGGGAGAACACGGAUAACUGACAGCAUAACCGCCAGUCCUACCUACACUACCUAGCAGCUUGUCUACGUGAAAGAGGAGAGCCAUUUCUGCUCCCUUCCUGAUACCUUGAAUUCAGAGCAAACCAGAGGCUGUGUCUCAGCAACUCUGUGCCUUGUUCUUCUAGACAAUCAGGCCACCUCUCUGUGGGAGACUGGAAAGGCAAGGCAUUAGCAAUCAUGUGCAUUAAGCUUUUCUUGUGCUGCAGAGUGGCUCAGGAUUUGGAGGCUUUGAGCUCUGGGGAAAAUCAUCACAGUGGAGCACAUUGCCUGUCUCUUUAUUUAAAUCACAUGGGAUUUAGUUUGUCUCAGUGUAAGAUCCAGCUUGGAAACAUAGAGCUGUGAUCAUUGCCUCAUUGUGCUAUCCUCGCCAUGGACCUGAAUCAUGAGGACACAGUUGCCUGGCGACCUGCUGAUGGGAAAUAUCUGCUAAAAUAUUACCAGGGGAGUUGUUUUUUCCCCCCUAGACCAUCUCAUACAAGGUGCAUACAUGCUAAUACUGUAUAGAUUUUAAUCAGUAAGGACAAAAGCUUUAAGGCUGCUUUGCUUCUGCAUAUUACAUCACCUGUUGGGAAUCGUCCAGCUUUGGUGGUGUAUGAAUGAUUUAUUUUCCUCAGUAUGAUUAGAUAAUUCUUGCCUUUUUGAUGGAAGAGUACUGGAUCUUACUGCAUUUGUGCAGUCUGUUACCCACUGCUAACACACUCCAAGGAAAUAAACAAGGGUGAUGGGCUUCUGCUGGCUUUCACUG